rnacentral:misc_RNA from 1 species
AGAACAGCAGAGUUUUGUUGAAAACAUAUGAAGUUAUGGUGAAGAAGUUUCAAUCUGAGAUUCAGAACAAAGAUUCUGAGAUUCUUCAGCUGCAGCAGCAGAUACUAGAGGCCAGUCAGAAGCGGAUUAAAUUGGAGAAAAACCUUAAGCUCAGGGGCUUGUCAGAGAAAGAAUCGGAGAAUGCAGUUAACGAGGAUGGGCAUUUCUCUGUGGACCUAACUCCUGAGCUUUUCAGGUCAGCCGUGGAAGGUGCUUAUAGGGCCAUUCACGACUUCUCUAAGCCACUGAUCAACAUGAUGAAAGCUGCUGGUUGGGAUCUUGAUGCUGCAGCAAACUCCAUAGAGCCAGAUCUAGUUUAUGCAAAGAGAGCUCACAAGAAAUAUGCUUUUGAAUCACAUAUCUGCCAAAGAAUGUUUGCUGAAUUUCAGAAUGAGUUCUUCUCUGUGAAAUAUGAGAAUUCAGCUGUCCCCAAUGAUAGUUUUUACCACCAGUAUCUUGCAUUACGGGAAUCAGAUCCACUGGAUGUUGUAGUCCAAAAUCCCAAGUCCCUUUUUGGGAACUUUUGCCGGAAGAAAUAUUUGGAGGUGGUUCAUUCGAAGAUGGAGUCUGCAUUUUUUGGGAACUUGGAUCAGCGAAACUAUAUUAUGAGUGGUGGACACCCAAGAACAGCUUUCUAUCAGGCCUUUCUGAAACUAACCAAGUCAAUUUGGCUUUUGCAUAGGUUGGCAUAUUCAUUUGAUCCUCCAGUCAGGGUUUUCCAAGUCCAGAGGGGAACCGACUUCUCAGAGGUUUAUAUGGAAAGUGUUCUGGAAAAUUUCACUGUAGAUGAAAACGAGAAGCCUAAGGUUGGUCUAAUGGUAAUGCCUGGUUUCUAUGUCGGGGGCAGUGCGAUCAAGUGCCAAGUCUACCUAACUGGCGUGAAGGUUACCGAAUGAUAUUAUAUCUAUCCUGUUUUCUGCUUUAUCAUUUAUGUUUUAGCAGGUGUUUUUCUUGUAACAUGCUGGUCAGUUUGAUGUAAAAUGUGUCUUGAGCUAAUGCCUAGAUAUCUCAAAGAUUGUAAGUUGGUCUGUAUCCCGACUAUAAGUUUUCUCAUGAACUUUUGCGUUUAUUCAUGAAAAAUACAUUUUGGUUCCAAAACUGAAUGUGUAUCGCAUAUAUGUUUGCCGGUAUGUCAAUGAUAGUACAUUA